UGAAAUUCCAAAACUCCAACCCCUUUGUCCAAUCACGGCGAGCAGCUCAACGACAGCGGUCCUCCAUGGCGUUGUGUUUCUCGACGACGCUGGUCCUCCACAGCACUGCGCUUCUCGACGACGUUGGUCCUCCACGACGCUGCGCUUCUCGACGAAUCUGGUCCUCCACGGUGCUGUGCUUCUUGACGAUUCUGCUCCUCUAAAGCGCUACGCUUCUCGAUGAUACUGGCCGAUUCUAUACAUAAAGGAUCGAUCUCAUUCGGCAAAUUCGAAACAGAACCUUUAUCUUGGGAAAGAAGAUGAUGAUUAAAACAAGUGGAUGCAACUCUAUAUUGAUGCAGUUCAAUAAUUGAGUGCAUGUUAAUUUGAAAGAGAAUAAAGAGGAAUCAAAUCAAGCUAAAAUAUUUGUUGCUACUUGGAGUGGACUGAAAGGAAAGGCACCUGAUAUAGAAACUCA